rnacentral:sRNA from 2 species
AUAUCUCUCUGUACGGGAAGGAUGAGAAGCUUCGACUAAGGUUCGAUUCGAGCGAAAGCGAGAAAGCGUUGUCGCAGGCAACGACCCGAAGGGCGAAGCGCGUAGCGCUGAGUCAUCCUUCCCCCACCACCA